GGUAGGACCUGUAAAAAGCGCAGGAGCUGAGGGCUUUGUAUUACUGUUGGAAUGAGGCUAUGUAGUCUAUAAGAGUAGUGGAAAAGAACACCUAUGCCCUAUUCUGAGGACUUGAGUGGUGCUUGUGCAAGGCUUCUAGACUCCUAUUGACUUUGCUGGGCUUUGGAUGAGGCCUGAGAGAGAAGUGUAAACUGCAUCACUAUUCGCUUCUGCUAAUACAGCACUGGUUGUGCUCUCAGAGGACUAUGGAGCCUCAUCCCAACAGUAGCAUGGAGCCCUCCUGAAGAGGGAAUCUGCAGACAGACUGGAAAACAGCUCUAAGAGGAGUGAACCAGAGUGAGAGGAUCCAUCUCAGUGGGGUGCUAACUUGGCUACCUAAUAACAGUUUAAAUAUCAACACUAAUGACUGUUUCGCUCCCGCUCAUUUUAACAGCGUUAUCUCACAACCCCAAUCUGCCUCCCAAGGUGCCAAAGCCCUUACUUAGCCAAAACUUCCAGCUGCCCCAAAAGACAAUUUCCAUGGCGCACUUGUGUUAUCAGUACAAAAUCUUUUGCAUAUUGAAAACUAAAAUAUAGGGUCCCUGUAAAAUAAAUCACAUUGUAUAUAAAUGUGACUAUCAUUGGAGCUACUGUACAGAGUAUACUAUUCAUUCAGUUAAUUAAAACUCUACAUUUUUAAUUUAAAUGAAGCUGCUACAGAGUCCAGGGACAGUGCCACUUUUUUUCUUGUGGGACUGCUCUAUAUCUCACUGGAACGAUGGGAGGAUCUCAUUCUCUAAAUUCCCCUGAGCCAUCCUAAGGUGCACAUGUGAGGGAAACAGGUACAUGAAACCAAGGGCCCAGUUCUCAAAUCUGUUACAUAAGUUUUUACAAUGGAAAUCAAUAGAGUUCUAUUGCUGUUAUGACCCUGGUGCAUCAGAGUGGAGAAUCAAGCCCUGAAUAUUUCUAGCUUUACCAAAGUGAAGUUGUUAUUAAUUAGUACUGAUAACACUUCAAAGCAGUUCAUUUUCUCAAUUUUGGGAAAUAUUUCCUUCAACGUGUGUGUGUGAAACUUUACACCAGGUCUUAGCUCAGCUUGUGGAGCCAAUGGUUGCCUCACUGGUAGGUGUGGAAAGCAGAUGCGCAUUUUUAAAAGUAUUUUGCCCAGUAGGAUUCAUUAAGUUCUUGGUUUGCUUCCUGUCUGUCUUCCUGUAUAAU